UUUGGGGGUCUUAGAGAAGGGGAAACGCCUGGCUCCAUUUCGAACCCAGAAGCUAAGCCCUUCAUCGCCGAUGGUACUGCACUGGAGAUGGUGUGGGAGAGUAGGUCGCCCCCAGUU
rnacentral:rRNA from 1 species